rnacentral:rRNA from 1 species
GUGGGGAAUAUUCCGCAAUGGACGAAAGUCUGACGGAGCAACGCCGCGUGAGUGAUGAAGGUUUUCGGACUGUAAAGCUCUGUUGUUUAGGACGAAAGUGCCUGUUGCAAAUAGUUACAGGUAUUGACGGUACUGAACGAGGAAGCCACGGCUAACUACGUGCCAGCAGCCGCGGUAAUACGUAGGUGGCAAGCGUUGUCCGGAAUUAUUGGGCGUAAAGAGCAUGUAGGCGGGAAUCUAAGUCUGUUGUGAAAAUGCGGGGCUCAACCCCGUAUUGCGAUGGAAACUGGGUUUCUUGAGUGCAGGAGAGGAAAGGGGAAUUCCCAGUGUAGCGGUGAAAUGCGUAGAUAUUGGGAGGAACACCAGUGGCGAAGGCGCCUUUUUGGACUGUGUCUGACGCUGAGAUGCGAAAGCCAGGGUAGCGAACGGGAUUAGAAACCCUAGUAGUCC